GGGAAAGAGAAAGGGAGAGGGAGAGGGAAAAAGUGAAUCUUUUGAAGGAGGAAAUGGAUGUUAGUGCUGCCUCUAAGAGAAGGAAACUUAAAAGAGAGCAUUUGCCAUCAGGGGAAGCUGGCGAGUAUUCUCCAGCUGCUCCACCACCUCCACCUCUUCCAAUUGGUAUGUCGCAAUCGUAUGAUGGAAGAGAUAGGGGGGAUAGAAAAGGAGCCAUGAUCCAGCGGUCAGGUUAUUUGGAGGAACUUCCAAUGAGGAUUCAUGGUAAAGAAGCAGCCAACAAGAUGACUCGUCGUGAUGCUGAUCCAAUGUAUGACCGAGAAUGGGAUGAUGACAAGAGGCAAAGAGCAGAGCCAAAGCGGAGGCACAGGAAGUAGUGUGCUGGAAACAAAUCAAGACAAGCUAGCUGAUUGGGUGAAUCAAUAUGGGUGUAUGUGAUUACUUGGAGUUCCCAUUGAUACUUAUAUUUCCUGUUAUACUGUACCAGACUAGCUGUUAUUGCACAUGAUUUUUCGUGGUUUUUGUGCAAAAGUUCAUUAAUUGGAAACUGAGAUUGAUUAACACCAUCUGUGCAAUGCUGUAUAUUUUUAGAAUUUGAAAGAGUAAUAUUUAAUAUUAUAAAACUACACUAAGUCUACAAUUCU
rnacentral:misc_RNA from 1 species